GGGUGUUUAGCUCAAUUGGUUAGAGCAGGGGACUCAUAAUCCCUUGGUUGUCGGUUCAAGUCCGGCGACACCCACCA
rnacentral:tRNA from 2 species